rnacentral:rRNA from 1 species
UACAGGGGGUGCAAACGUUGCUCGGAAUCAUUGGGCCUAAAGCGCACGUAGGCGGUUCGUUAUGUCGGAUGUGAAAGCCCUUGGCUUAACCGAGGAAGUGCAUCCGAAACUGGCGAGCUAGAGUACUAAAGAGGAUCGCGGAAUUCCCGGUGUAGAGGUGAAAUUCGUAGAUAUCGGGAGGAACACCGGUGGCGAAGGCGGUGCUCUGGGACGGUACUGACGCUGAGACGCGAAAGCGUGGGGAGCGAACAGG